rnacentral:rRNA from 1 species
AACGAACGCUGGCGGCAGGCUUAACACAUGCAAGUCGAGCGCGUGGUAACACGAGCGGCAGACGGGUGAGUAACGCGUGGGAAUCUACCCUUGACUACGGAAUAACGCAGGGAAACUUGUGCUAAUACCGUAUGUGUCCUUCGGGAGAAAGAUUUAUCGGUCAAGGAUGAGCCCGCGUUGGAUUAGCUAGUUGGUGGGGUAAAGGCCUACCAAGGCGACGAUCCAUAGCUGGUCUGAGAGGAUGAUCAGCCACAUUGGGACUGAGACACGGCCCAAACUCCUACGGGAGGCAGCAGUGGGGAAUAUUGGACAAUGGGCGCAAGCCUGAUCCAGCCAUGCCGCGUGAGUGAUGAAGGCCCUAGGGUUGUAAAGCUCUUUCACCGGAGAAGAUAAUGACGGUAUCCGGAGAAGAAGCCCCGGCUAACUUCG